rnacentral:tRNA from 1 species
GGGGGUGUAGCUCAGCUGGUUAGAGCGCUGGCCUGUCACGCCAGAGGUCCCGGGUUCGAGUCCCGUCACUCCCGCCA